GUCGCUAGACUAGUCACGUGAUCGACAUUGUCUUAAUUUUUUCUCAUCGAGUGUUCGGUUGAGCGAAACGAAUAUUUGUGGUAUUUCCACGCGUAAAAGUGUUUUGUUUCGAUUAAUUUAUGUUUGUUUUUUAAGUAUUUGAUAUUCAUAUAGAUGCCGGGAUUGAAAUAAGAGCAGGAAAUCUUUUGAGGAAGUGGAGUGACAGCAGCCCCGCUGUAAAUCAAGAUGGCAGGUCUGUCUUUGUAUUUUGAAGAUGGUCAUGAUGAUUUAGAUGACUUUGGAUUCGAUGAC